rnacentral:rRNA from 1 species
CCGCGGGAUUAGAGUUUGAUCCUGGCUCAGGAUGAACGCUGGCGGCGCGCCUAAUGCAUGCAAGUCGAGCGACGCAUAUCGGAGGGGUAACCCACUGGUAUGACGGAGCGGCGAACGGGUGAGUAACACGUGAGUAACCUGCCCCACAGAUCGGGAUAGCCCAGGGAAACCUGGAUUAAUACCGGAUAUUCUCUUCUAACUUCAUGGUCUGAAGAGGAAAUGCCUUUGUGCUGUGGGAUGGACUCGCGGCUUAUCAGCUAGUUGGUGGGGUAACGGCCUACCAAGGCGUCGACGAGUAGCUGGUCUGAGAGGACGAUCAGCCACACUGGGACUGAGACACGGCCCAGACUCUUACGGGAGGCAGCAGCAGGGAAUCUUGCACAAUGGGCGAAAGCCUGAUGCAGCAACGCCGCGUGUGGGAUGAAGGCCUUCGGGUUGUAAACCACUUUCAGGAGGGAAGAAAUUGACGGUACCUCCAAAAGAAGGUCCGGCCAACUACGUGCCAGCAGCCGCGGUAAUACGUAGGGACCGAGCGUUAUCCGGAAUCAUUGGGCGUAAAGAGCUCGUAGGCGGUUCAGAAAGUCGGCUGUGAAAGUCCAAGGCUCAACCUUGGAAAUGCAGUCGAGACUUCUGUGACUAGAGUCUGGUAGAGGAGAAUGGAAUUCCCGGUGUAGCGGUGGAAUGCGCAGAUAUCGGGAGGAACACCAGUAGCGAAGGCGGUUCUCUGGGCCUCGACUGACGCUGAGGAGCGAAAGCAUGGGUAGCAAACAGGAUUAGAUACCCUGGUAGUCCAUGCCGUAAACGUUGGAUACUAGGUGUGGCGUUCCGAUCAACGGGUGCCGUGCCGAAGCUAACGCAUUAAGUAUCCCGCCUGGGGAGUACGGC